rnacentral:rRNA from 1 species
GAUGAACGCUGGCGGCGUGCUUAACACAUGCAAGUCGAACGGAAAGGCUCCUGCUUGCAGGGGUACUCGAGUGGCGAACGGGUGAGUAACACGUGGGUGAUCUGCCCUGUACUUCGGGAUAAGCUUGGGAAACUGGGUCUAAUACCGGAUAGGACAACUUUUUGGAUAUUGUUGUGGAAAGCUUUUGCGGUAUGGGAUGAGCUCGCGGCCUAUCAGCUUGUUGGUGGGGUAAUGGCCUACCAAGGCGUCGACGGGUAGCCGGCCUGAGAGGGUGUACGGCCACAUUGGGACUGAGAUACGGCCCAGACUCCUACGGGAGGCAGCAGUGGGGAAUAUUGCACAAUGGGCGCAAGCCUGAUGCAGCGACGCCGCGUGGGGGAUGAAGGCCUUCGGGUUGUAAACUCCUUUCGCUAGGGACGAAGCUUUUUUGUGACGGUACCUGGAGAAGAAGUACCGGCUAACUACGUG